GACGAACGCUGGCGGCGUGCCUAAUACAUGCAAGUUAAGCGCUGAAGGUUGGUACUUGUACCGACUGGAUGAGCAGCGAACGGGUGAGUAACGCGUGGGGAAUCUGCCUUUGAGCGGGGGACAACAUUUGGAAACGAAUGCUAAUACCGCAUAAAAACUUUAAACACAAGUUUUAAGUUUGAAAGAUGCAAUUGCAUCACUCAAAGAUGAUCCCGCGUUGUAUUAGCUAGUUGGUGAGGUAAAGGCUCACCAAGGCGAUGAUACAUAGCCGACCUGAGAGGGUGAUCGGCCACAUUGGGACUGAGACACGGCCCAAACUCCUACGGGAGGCAGCAGUAGGGAAUCUUCGGCAAUGGACGAAAGUCUGACCGAGCAACGCCGCGUGAGUGAAGAAGGGUUUCGGAUCGUAAAACUCUGUUGGUAGAGAAGAACGUUGGUGAGAGUGGAAAGCUCAUCAAGUGACGGUAACUACCCAGAAAGGGACGGCUAACUACGUG
rnacentral:rRNA from 1 species